ACGUAGGUGGCAAGCGUUGUCCGGAAUUAUUGGGCGUAAAGCGCGCGCAGGCGGUCCUUUAAGUCUGAUGUGAAAUCCCGCAGCUCAACUGCGGAACUGCCUUUGAUACUGGGUAUCUUGAGUAUGGAAGAGGUAAGUGGAAUUCCGAGUGUAGAGGUGAAAUUCGUAGAUAUUCGGAGGAACACCAGUGGCGAAGGCGACUGUCUGGGGAGCAACUGACGCUGAGGCGCGAAAGCUGGGGGAGCAACGGGA
rnacentral:rRNA from 1 species